rnacentral:sRNA from 1 species
CGAGCUAUAAUCGGUGACCUGUGGCGGAACAGGGAUUGAUCAGGCAAAAAUGGGAUUCUGGAGAUAUCAAUGGCAAAUCCAGAGCUGGAAAGGGUAGAUGAGUGAAUACCUCCAGGAUAUAAAGGGAGGAAACUCGUACGUUGCUGCGAGGAGUAACAAAAGUGCAGCUCUUGUGGGAAUUGGCACGUUGACCUCCCACCCUGCAGAGGGAAAUGACUCGAGCCAGCAGUCACUCCUUAAACGGUAUGUUGCUCUCUAUAUUGGCCUGCUCACCCAAAGAAGCAGCGCACAAACGCUGUUGACAUACCAAACGGGAUAUUCUCCCUUCGGUAUCUGUAUGCUCUGCAUAUGGCGAAAACCUCAUUAUACUCGUUUGAGAGACUCGAGAUGUAAACCCUGUAAAUCAGGUAUUUCGUUUGCAAGGAGAGAACAAAGAAGGAACCGGGAGCGAAUCGAGAAAACAAAAAAAGAAAAGAAAAAGAGAGAUAAGCCUUGGGA